AUGGAUCCAGCCCCUGUUUCUGUGGCGGUGAUCGGUUCAGCGUCCGCUGCCUCCGCCUUCUUCCUGGUGUUGUUUCUGUGGGUGUUGCUGCUGACAGCGGAGAGACUAAAUCGCAGAAUCAAACUUUCUCUGGGCUGGAGCGGGAUGAGUGUUGAAUCCCUGCGAUCGCUUCUCCCAGGUGCCACAUCUUCUGCUUCACCCUGUGGCACAACCACUGCAGAGGAGCAACAUGCACAGCAGACUGACAGCACGGACAAAACGCCAAGGUGCCCCGUGGUCGUAGAGAAAAAUGCUCACCCCCCUUCAAUCGUCAUCAAUGUCACAACAAACAUCAAGCCUGCCGGUCAAAGCAGGGGCGGAGACUGUGAGUGGGAGGAGCCUGAGGAGACCCAACCUUCCCUACAGGAGAUGGAGAUGAAGCUGCAGGAGAUCUGCGCCAUGGCUGCAGGUCAAACCCUGGAGGAGCUGGAUUACGACACGGUGCACGACCUCUCCCUGCUGCUGGACGCAGGGGGCCGCGGUGGAGCCGUGCAAAGGUUGGGUCACGCCUUGGGGGUCCCAGCUGAGGUCCUCAGCAACCUGCACGGCUUCCAGGAGCUCUUCCGCUACCUGCGCACCUCCACCUACACGCUCUUACCGCAGCUGGCCCAGGCGGUCGCCACGCUGCACCGCCCCGAUGUGGUGGCCAGGAUGCAUCGGAGCCUGUUGACGCGGCGCUCAGGGGCCAGUGGCACUCGGGCCCGGGAAUCAGGGCUGCACUGAUCCACGGGAACGGCCUGGUGCGGCUACGCAGCUCUCUGACACCCAUCCUGCCGUAAGAAAUCAGGGGCAAAACUGUGGCGAGUGCCACCAAGAAAGAAACACCACGGUGUGUUCAGGGAGAUCCUUUUACACACCCCUUUGUCCGAACAGUCCCGAUGCAAUUCCUUCACCCUGGAUUUAAGCAUUAUGUCAGGAAGAAAAUACAUAGGGGUAGCGCAGGGGUAUCUGAUGUGAGUUGUGGGUUCGUGUCCGAGCUGCGUCCGCUCCGGUGGGGGGCGUGUCUCCGUGCCCCCUAGAUUACCACAUGACUUAGUGUCUUAGCUGUGAUUUUAUAUCUCACCGGGACAGCUUGUUUGCUGAAGUGUGCCAGAGCAGUGGCCCUUAAUGGUCACCGAAUGUUAUAAGUGGAAGCCGAUUGUUUGAUUCUUGUUUCCAAAGCGAUAGACAGCAUGCCGAGGUGCACUAUGUCUCCUCAAACCCUUGUAUCAGUGAGCCCCCCCGCUGCUGAACCCUUUCUGAGUGUUAAAUAACACUGUGACCCCUGCAUUAUUCAGCCCAGUGUAACUGAGCCCAGAACAAGGUGAGCACUAAUGUGUCGGCCAUUAAAAAUGAACGAGGAGGCUCGAGUUGGGGGGGUGUGAAGGGGCGAUAUGGGCUGGCAACGAAAACACGGAGGCGUGCGAUGAGGUGGAGAGCUCAGUUCUUAUUGGAAGUGGCGCUAAGGGGUCUUAACUGCUGCAAUGCAGUCUCUCCUUGCUAACCCCCCCCAACACCCAGGCUUGCUCGCCCCUGUAAAUAUGUACGGUAAACGGUAACAAUGAACGCGGUCCCCAUCUGUCUCAGAGCAAGCAGACAUGUUCACAUCUUUGACAACAGCAUCGCUAGUCGUUCAGUUCCCCAAAUGCAAUGCUCUCUCUUUUACUGCUAUUACUGUUAUUUUUGUUGCUAUUAUUUAGCCAGCAUCUUAUUGCAUGAUGAUGGAAGAAAGAACAUGGGGGAGAAAAUAAAAAUUUGUAUGGUGACUUGGGUGGGGGAGGG
rnacentral:lncRNA from 1 species